rnacentral:tRNA from 1 species
CUCGUGAUGGCUGAGCGGUCGAAGGCAGCGGACUGCAAAUCCGUUCGGAGUAAUCCGCACAUCGGUUCGAAUCCGGUUCACGAGUCCA